rnacentral:rRNA from 1 species
UACGGAGGGUGCAAGCGUUAUCCGGAUUCACUGGGUUUAAAGGGUGCGUAGGUGGGCCUGUAAGUCAGUGGUGAAAUCUCCGGGCUUAACCCGGAAACUGCCAUUGAUACUAUAGGUCUUGAAUUAUCUGGAGGUCAGCGGAAUAUGUCAUGUAGCGGUGAAAUGCUUAGAUAUGACAUAGAACACCAAUUGCGAAGGCAGCUGGCUACAGGUAAAUUGACACUGAGGCACGAAAGCGUGGGGAUCAAACAGG